AUGUUGAUGAUGAUGCAUUAGCAAUUGCUAAAUUAGCAAUGGCACAAAAAAUAAAACAAACAAAGGAUGUCACUCUUAAAGAUCUCAGAGACAAUCAACAUUUAUUAUUGGAGGUACGAUAUAUAAAAAAAUUAAUGAUGCAUUUCAAAAGUACAUAAUCGACUAUUUCUAUAAUAUAUUAUUUUUUUGUCAUAUAUUAGGGUGUUUCGUAUUGCUUUACGGGAAUUAUUGACAAAAUUGAAAAUAAAGCAACAAUAUGAUAUGAUUCUUGUAAAAAUUACAACACAUCUUUCUCCAAAAUUGAUGAGAGUGCACUAUGCAAAAAAUGCAAUGAAGAAGUUCUUGAGACGUCGCCCAGAAUCACAAUAAAUGUUAUACAAUGCGACUGCAAUGCUCGUGUUACACUGUUCGAUCAAGCGGCAGAGGUAUAUGUAGGAUGCUCUGUGGAUGAAUAUCGAUCUUUCUUCAAUCAAAGAGGGUGAAACAGCCUCCACAUACUAUAGAGGAUUAAGCACACAAGUGUACACAGAAAUACGCUUCAUGAUGAUGCUCAAGUCUAUAAAAUUUGAUCAACGGGGAAAUCUCAAUAUUGUAGCAAAUGCAAUCCAAAAGACGCAACCGAUGUAAAGCAUCA